rnacentral:rRNA from 1 species
AAGGUAGUGUAGUUAACACCUGCAUUAUUUGACGUUACCUACAGAAGAAGCACCGGCUAACUCCGUGCCAGCAGCCGCGGUAAUACGGAGGGUGCGAGCGUUAAUCGGAAUUACUGGGCGUAAAGCGCAUGCAGGCGGCUUGUUAAGUCAGAUGUGAAAGACCCGGGGCGUUAACCUCGGAAUUGCAUUUGAAACUGGCAGGCUAGAGUCUUGUAGAGGGGGUAGGAAGUUUCAGGUGUAGCGGUGAAAUGCGUAGAGAUCUGAAGGAAUACCAGUGGCGAAGGCGGCCCCCUCGGACAAAGACUGACGCUCAGAUGCGAAAGCGUGGGGAGCAAACAGGAUUAGAUACCCUGGUAG